rnacentral:rRNA from 1 species
UACGUAGGGUGCAAGCGUUGUCCGGAAUUAUUGGGCGUAAAGAGCUCGUAGGCGGUUGGGUAAGUCGGGUGUGAAAACUCAGGGCUCAACUCUGAGACGCCACUCGAUACUGCUCUGACUCGAGUCCGGUAGGGGGAGCGUGGAAUUCCCGGUGUAGCGGUGAAAUGCGCAGAUAUCGGGAGGAACACCAGUGGCGAAGGCGGCGCUCUGGGCCGGAACUGACGCUGAGGAGCGAAAGCGUGGGUAGCAAACAGG